UCAGGACGAACGCUGGCGGCGUGCUUAACACAUGCAAGUCGGACGAGACGAUUGAAAGCUUGCUUUUGAAAGUCGAGUGGCAAACGGGUGAGUAACGCGUAGACAACCUGCCGUAAAGAUGGGGACAACAGUCCGAAAGGACUGCUAAUACCGAAUGUUGUGGAACUUCCGCAUGGGAGCUCUACUAAAGAUGGCCUCUACUUGUAAGCUAUCGCUUUACGAUGGGUCUGCGUCUGAUUAGCUAGUUGGUGGGGUAACGGCCUACCAAGGCGACGAUCAGUAGCCGGUCUGAGAGGAUGAACGGCCACAUUGGAACUGAGACACGGUCCAGACUCCUACGGGAGGCAGCAGUGGGGAAUCUUCCGCAAUGGGCGCAAGCCUGACGGAGCAACGCCGCGUGAGUGAAGAAGGGUUUCGACUCGUAAAGCUCUGUUGUCGGGGACGAAUGUGGAGGUUGUGUAUAACAGCUUCCAAUGACGGUACCUGACGAGGAAGCCACGGCUAACUACGUGCCAGCAGCCGCGGUAAUACGUAGGUGGCGAGCGUUGUCCGGAAUUAUUGGGCGUAAAGGGAGCGCAGGCGGGAGGUCAAGUCUAUCUUAAAAGUGCGGGGCUCAACCCCGUGAGGGGAUGGAAACUGGUCUUCUUGAGUGCAGGAGAGGAAAGCGGAAUUCCUAGUGUAGCGGUGAAAUGCGUAGAUAUUAGGAGGAACACCAGUGGCGAAGGCGGCUUUCUGGACUGUAACUGACGCUGAGGCUCGAAAGCGUGGGGAGCGAACAGGAUUAGAUACCCUGGUAAUCCACGCCGUAAACGAUGAAUGCUAGGUGUAGGAGGUAUCGACCCCUCCUGUGCCGGAGUUAACGCAAUAAGCAUUCCGCCUGGGGAGUACGGCCGCAAGGCUGCAACUCAAAGGAAUUGACGGA
rnacentral:rRNA from 2 species